GUAGGGGAGUGGUAGAGGGAGAGAUGAAUGACUAGAAGGAGGUACAGUAGAGGAGUGGUAGAGGGAGAGAUGAAUGAGGAGAAGGAGGUACAAUAGAGGAGUGGUAGAGGGAGAGAUGAAUGAGGAGGAGGUACAGUAGAGGAGUGGUAGAGGGAGAGAUGAAUGAGAAGAAGGAGGUAGAGGAGUGGUAGAGGGAGAGAUGAAUGAGGAGAAGGAGGUACAGUAGAGGAGUGGUAGAAGGAGAGAUGAAUGAGAAGAAGGAGGUAGAGGAGUGGUAGAGGGAGAGAUGAAUGAGGAGAAGGAGGUACAGUAGAGGAGUGGUAGAAGGAGAGAUGAAUGAGAAGAAGGAGGAAGAGGAGUGGUAGAGGGAGAGAUGGAGGAGAAGGAGGUAGAGGAGUGGUAGAAGGAGAGAUGAAUGAGGA
rnacentral:lncRNA from 1 species